CAUAUAUUCUCUCCGUCCAACAAAAGAUGUCUCAAAUUUGUCAAAAUUUGGAUGUAUCUAGACAUGACUUAGUGUAUAGAUGCAUUCAAAUUAGUCAAAGUUGAGACAUCCUUUGUUGGACGGAGGAAGUAUGAU
rfam:Brachypodium distachyon strain Bd21 chromosome 1, whole genome shotgun sequence.